ensembl:rRNA 5S_rRNA 5S ribosomal RNA
AUCUACGGCCAUACCACCCUGAACUGAACGUGCCCGAUCUCGUCUGAUCUCAGAAGCGAACAGGGUGGGGCCGGGUUAGUACUUGGAUGGAGAAUAACCAAAGUCCCACAAUACACUGAGACACCUUCUGUU